rnacentral:lncRNA from 1 species
AUGGGCGUCUACGUUCUCUCUCCUGAGCCAAGCCGCGGUGACUACAAGCAAAAGCUGAAGGGCAGUGUUCUCAUCAUACUCGGGGCCCAUGUGCGGGUUAAAGACCAAACUACAAUGCAAUGGAGAGGACCCCAGCACAGUGGCCUGCAGAAUAAAGUCGCUCUUUUUUCCUACCGCAGUCUCAAGGCUACUAGAGCCCUUGACGUCAUAAGGUCAUUCAUGAGCUCAGAGGCUUUCCAUCUGUUGUUUCCCGUUUGCCAGGACACUGUCACUGUGCACGGUUGAUGCUGGGUCAUCAGCAUGGCGGGAGGAGGAAAGAGCGUGGAGACUCGCCCAGCACCUCAAGGCCCAGACCUGGAAGGGGCUCCUCUGGCUCUGCGUUGCCUUAGUGUGCACUCAGUCACACAGUCAGGGAGGCUGCAAGAUGGACCCCAGCAUGUCAUCACGCGCCCACAGCAAUGCUGUCGCUGGUGGUAGAGAGCAGUCUGUGCCGUGGCUUCACAGCCUGGAGGGGGGCUCCCCCCGUGCUCCUGAGGGACGCACGGAGUGCCGCUGGUCACAGGGCUCACUGAGACACUGGGCUUCGAGGGCGGGAGCCCCAGGAGGCAGGAGAGCAGAACUCCCCAGAGGGGCCCUCUCUCCACGGCCGGUGGGCAACGGAGAGCAAGAAUGAGCUAAGAGCAGAAAAACCUACCCAGGGAUGCCCAGAGACUCCCAAGCCUGCCCACAGGAGCCUCAGCCCUGGAGGGGAAGUGGGUCUUCAGUCAGAGGGAUGGGGCACAAGAUGGGGGUCAGUGGUGACCGUUGACUGGGUCUCGUCAGCUGCUGGGACAUGGCUGCAAAUGACGCACCUUCUGGAAAGCUUGGACCCUCACUGAGCAAGGCUGAAACCACAAUGAACGAUGGUCCUUCUAUAAUUGCCCUGAGGCAGGACCCAGGAUGGGCUCUCAGUCCGUAGGUAAGCACUUGCAUUAAUAAGCUCAGGACAUUUUGGUCCGUGAAGGACACAAUAGAAGCAAAACACCCAAAUCCUAUGAUCCAGGAAGGGAUCCCUUGUAAACCAUUAAAGCCAAAUCCCUAAGAGCACAUGAUCGAGUGUCUAGUUGCGGUUAUCCCCUGAGAGACCUGCAGGAGUCUGAACGUGGUCGGAGCAAACAGGCUGGCUGCACGGGGGACAGGCGGCUUGAGCUGAAGGACAUGGAGAGCUGAGAAGGAAGGGAAAGCAUUUCAAGGGACAGGGACAGCGGAGAAGAGAAAGGACCAAGUGGGUAGGGUGGGCCCUCUGGAAAUUGCCAGAUCUUGCGAUAAAUGUUUUUCCUGAAUUGUUAUUGUUCAGUUGCUAAGGCAUACCUGAGCUGACUCUACAACUGCAGCACGCCAGGCUUCUCUGUCCUUCACUAUCUCCCUGAGUUUGCUCAAA